rnacentral:rRNA from 1 species
UUCGCCAGGGAACAACGAGCCCCAGCUUAAAACCCAAAGGACUUGGCGGUGCUUUAGACCCCCCUAGAGGAGCCUGUUCUAGAACCGAUACUCCCCGUUCAACCUCACCUUCUCUUGUUUUUCCCGCCUAUAUACCGCCGUCGUCAGCUUACCCUGUGAAGGAUCAACAGUAAGCAAAAUUGGUACAACCCAAAACGUCAGGUCGAGGUGUAGCGAAUGGGAAGGGAAGAAAUGGGCUACAUUUACUGAAUCAGUAUAUUACGGACACUGUGCUGAAAAAACAUUCGAAGGAGGAUUUAGCAGUAAGGGGAGAACAGAGUGCCCCCCUGAAAACGGCCCUGAAGCGCGUACACACCGCCCGUCACUCUCCCCGAUCUACCAAAACCAAUAAAUAAACACCUAACAGAACCGAGGGGAGGCAAGUCGUAACAUGGUAAGUGUACCGGAAGGUGCACUUGGAAAAACC